rnacentral:lncRNA from 1 species
CCCAGGUGGAUAAUUUGUAUCUGAGCUCAGAAGGUUGAUUGCCAUUAUUCUGAGUCCAGUGGGAAUCCUGCUAGGACCCCUGGAUGAUGUGCCCCCCUGGUAGUCCCUCCCACUCAGCUCUUCCUGGAUUCUCACCAGUGCUCUGGAGUCACUCCACCUUACUGUUUACCACAGGUCAGAAUGACUCCUGAGGGAUGAGGGAACAUAACCUGGGAAGUUAGGACCUAAGGCAAAUAAAU